GCAGUCUGCAACUCGACUGCAUGAAGCUGGAAUCGCUAGUAAUCGCGAAUCAGAAUGUCGCGGUGAAUACGUUCCCGGGUCUUGUACACACCGCCCGUCACACCAUGGGAGUUGGUAACGCCCGAAGUCAGUGACCCAACCGCAAGGAGGGAGCUGCCGAAGGCGGGACCGGUAACUGGGGUGAAGUCGUAACAAGGUACC
rnacentral:rRNA from 1 species